rnacentral:rRNA from 1 species
UAGGGAAUCCUCCACAAUGGACGAAAGUCUGAUGGAGCAACGCCGCGUGAGUGAAGAAGGGUUUCGGCUCGUAAAACUCUGUUGUUAAAGAAGAACAUAUCUGAGAGUAACUGUUCAGGUAUUGACGGUAUUUAACCAGAAAGCCACGGCUAACUACGUGCCAC